GACAGAGGGUGCAAACGUUGUUCGGAUUUACUGGGCGUAAAGCGCGUGUAGGCGGCUUUGCAAGUCGGAUGUGAAAGCCCACGGCUCAACCGUGGAAGUGCAUCCGAAACUGCAUGGCUGGAGUCUCGGAGAGGAAGGUGGAAUGCUUGGUGUAGAGGUGAAAUUCGUAGAUAUCAAGCAGAACACCUGCGGCGAAGGCGGCCUUCUGGACGAUGACUGACGCUGAGAUGCGAAAGCGUGGGGAGCAAACGGG
rnacentral:rRNA from 1 species